rnacentral:miRNA from 1 species
AGGUGGGAGGAUUGCUUGAGCCCAGGAGGUGGAGGUUGCAGUGAGCUGAGAUCACGCCACUGCACACCAGUCUGGGCAACAGAGUGAGACCCUGUCU